rnacentral:lncRNA from 1 species
GGUACAGUCCGUGUAACGUAAAAGUUAACAAUACGAACGAUGCCCGAACCAUGUACGGACGAUGCCCGAACGAUGUACGUACGCUUACCGAACGGUGUACGAAUGCAAACGAAACGCUGACCGAGCGUUGUACGGACGCUGAACGAACGAUGUACGAACGAAACCAUGUACCAUAAACCAUUCCAUAAACGAUAACAUAAGCGCCC